CCCCCCCCUCUUUGUCCAGCUGGGACACGGAAUGGCCACGGGCCUCCUCCCCCUCCCCUCCAGCCCCUCCACCAGCCCCUCCAGUCACCACUCAUCGCCGUGCCCCCCCAGAGCUAGAGAGAUGGGGCCCCUCCGUGGCCCAAGGGGCAGAGCUGGGCGUCACCUCCCAAGCAUCCUGCCCUGCCGGGGCGCGGGGAUGGGCUCUGGGGAAGCCGGUGCGCCCCCCACGCCUCCGCUGCCAGUGCCUUACAUUCUGGAGCGACCCCCCUCCCUGGUGCCUCCCAGCGAAGGGGGACUGCCCCGUUUGCACUUUCAUCGCCCCCCCAAGCGGGGCCCAGCCGGGGGACGUGCAUAACGGCUGGGCCCCCAGAGGAGAGAGGAGGCCGACGCCAGCGGUCCCCGCUCGGGACGGGGAGGGUUCUGGGGGGGUUCGGCGUCGCACCUCGGGGCCCCCUCGCGGCCGUGUAGGGGGCCUCCCAUCUGCUAAGCGUUUUUCCGUUGAGCCGCUCCAAAAACACUAA